rnacentral:SRP_RNA from 1 species
GCUGAGCUGGGUUACUCCAGCUUGUGACCCAAGUGGGAGCAUUACUGUGAUCGAACAACAUCGAGGCUUGCUGGGUUUGCAAUAUGUUGGCCUGCCCACUCCAAGUCCAGAGUUGAGUCUGGGGACUUUAGUGAAGGCUAAGGUCUCUUGACUCUUAGAGUGGAGGGCACAGCGUGAGGCUGGUUUCACAGAGCAGCGACCACCUCCCACUCCUGACAGUGGAGGGAUUACAGGCUGCAGCAGCCUCAGUCCUUAAUGGCCUGGUCAGCCUAGUUUGCUUGGACUAUCACUUUU